CCGAUGUAGCUCAGUUGGUCAGAGCAGCUGAUUUGUAAUCAGCAGGUCGUGGGUUCGAAUCCCUCCAUCGG
rnacentral:tRNA from 1 species